GUCUUCCAAGGGCGCUGGCAGCUGCGUCAGCUCCCGCUGCCCGCCCCAAGCGUCCAGAGCUAGGAGGGAGUUACGGGGCGAGGCCCAGGGCUUUUCAGGGCCGGGGGUCGUGCGGCCAGGCGCGGGUGGACUAGGCCAGCGGCCACUGAGGGGCAGAGAGGUCUGGGGUUCUAAGUUUAGCCCACUCCGCGAAUGUGGAUUGCUUUGUUUGGAUGUGAUUCCCUUUCCAGGUGACUGUAGGUUACCCCCACACUGCCCUGGCAUGGAAGAGAUUUAGGCUGUCCUAGGCCUUCACCCUUCCCUAAGACGAGAAUCCAGAGGAGGAGCCAUUUAACAGCUCCCUGGCUUCUCUCACUUACAGGGAGCUCACUACUACUACUAAAAACAUUUUGAAGUUAACACCCCCUUAUGCCUGGCUCAUUCGUGCAUUCAACAGAUGUUUACUGAGCACAGACUGUGUGUUGGAGACUGGCCACUGGUUUACAUAACGAGCUGUGAUAAAACAAAGUCCCAAGCCUCUUGGUUGAUGUUCUCAGGCUUUUUUGAGGUGUGAAUCACUUCUCCCUGGAAGCCCUCCUAGCUAUGCCACCCUGGCUUAAGACUGACUUUUGUGCUCUAGUGGCCCCUCAGGGAUUCCCCACAUCAGCACUGACUAAAUGUCCACUUCCAUGAGCUAGAGGAAGGUGGCGCCUCUUAUUUGGCCUGGAGCAGGGAGCUAGGGCUCCUGCAGCCUCCAGAUCCCUUACUGGGCGUCAGCUCAAGGGUGGGAAGGCCGGGGGCCUGCACCCCCUGGGAAAGAUGUGGGCAUUUGUUUCAAGGCAGGUGGUGGUGGCUGAAGUCUGGAGGCAGGGAGAACGGCUGCGUAUUUCAAACUUGUAAGCAAAGGACAGGGGACCUAUUACUGGGAAAUUUCCCACAUGUGCCAGGGGGAAGGAACAACCCUCUCCCUGUGGAAGGUGGGGGGAGCGAGCUCACCUCCCAGAGAGACAACUCUGUCACUCUGGCGCCUCUGCCCGCCCUUGUUCUUCCCUCCAUCUGAAAUCUUCCCCUCUUCUCAAAGCUGGUGUAUUCUCAUCCUUUAACUCUCCACUCAAAUGUCACUUUCCUUGUCAACCCUUGUCAAAAUUGGUCCCCUCCUCUGUUCCCUUUAUUCCAUCACCUAUAUUUUCUCAGAACAUGUACAGUGCUCAUUCACUAGGAUUGUUACCCGAAUCCUCUGCUAGAAUGUAAGCUCCAGGAAGGUGGAAUUCUUGCCUUUUUCCUGCCUUAUUUUUACUAGCUGUACCUUGCAUAAAGGGUGUUUGUUGAGUGAAUGAAGUUCUGUCCUAGAUCAAGUUAGGAAUUGAAGCUAGAAGUCAGGAAAACUAGGUCUUUCUCUGCUACUAAUAUUUUUUUUAUUUUUCUUUUCUUUUUCGUGUUUGUUUUUGGUUUUCGUUUGUUUGGUUUUUGUUUUGAGGUGGAGUCUCAAUCUGUCACCCAGGCUGGAGUACAGUGGCGCCAUCUUGGCUCACUGAAACCUCUGCCUCCUGGGUUCAAGCAAUUCUCCUGCCUCAGCCUCCUGAGUGGUUGGGAUUACAGGCAUGCACCACCAUGCCCGGCUAAUUUUGUAUUUUUAGUAGAGUCGGGAUUUCUCCAUGUUUGUCAGGCUGGUCUCGAACUCCUGACCUCAGGUGAUCUGCUCGCCUCUGCCUCCCAAAGUGCUGGGAUUACAGGAGUGAGCCACCACACCCAGCCUCCCUUUAACUCUUUAUAUCAAUCAUUUACACAAAGAAUUGGAGUCAGCUUGUCAACAUACAAUGAGAUUGAGAGAGAGAGGUAAAAAUCAAGCAGAGAUGGCCAGGCACGGUGGCUCACACCUGUAAUCCCAGCACUUUGGGAGACCGAAGUGGGCGGAUCCUGACUUGAGGUCAGGAGUUCAAGAACAGCCUGGCCAACAUGGCAAAAUCCCAUCUCUACUAAAAAUACAAAAAUUAGCCAGGCGAGGUGGCGUGCAUCUGUAAUCCCAGCUACUUGGGAGGCUGAGGCAGGAGAAUCGCUUAAACCCAGGAGGCGGAGGUUGCAGUGAGCCGAGAUCGUGCCACUGCACUCCAGCCUGGGCAACAGUGUGAGACUCUGUCUCAAAAAAUAAUAA
rnacentral:lncRNA from 1 species